UAUAACGUUGUCACUAGAAUGUUUCAAAAAUGAAUAUGGAAUACCAUCGCAUCCUGGUGCAGAAUCAAUAACAUAUGAUAAGACAUUCUUUAGCUCUAAAAACGAAAAUGGACUGUUAAAAGGCUGCACGUUAUCAUUAUCAAUAUUGGGCGAGGAAGCCAGUUCAGGACACACAGGGAAUGGGACAAAUGAAGGAGCUAAUUUAUCUAAAAAUUUCUCGGCUACUGGAGGAUCAAGAUUGAUGGCGUUAUUUUCUACAAAAGCUCCUCUAAACAUUCUAACCUUCCUCCAAACUUCUGACGGCUUCUGAACAUUCAGAAUCCCACCAUGGAGGGCUGGGAAUAUUGAAUUUAGAGGACUUCUUACGAGGAAAUACUUCAUCAGCUAUAUUAAUUAUAAACUUAGCAAAAGCAUCAGAAGUUUUAAACAAAUUUUCACGAGAUACAUCGGGUAAUUCUCCCAACCUCUCAUCCAUAUGUUUGCGAAACUUAUCCCAAUCUGCAUUUUGAAGUUUAUAUGCUAAAAGUGGAGAUCUUUUAUGUAAUGGUCUGUUUUUAAUAGGAAAAGAAAUGAGAAUUGGAAAAUGAUCACUGCCAUAGGAAAGUGGAAGUACCUCCCACAGUAAGGAGUGUGAUAUGGAAGAGCUACAAAUUGAUAAAUCUAAUGCACUAGGAUUCUCAUUGGGAGCAGACCGACGCGUAGGAACACCAGAAUUCAAUAUACAUAAAUUAUAAUAAUCAA